GUCUUCGUGGCUCAGUUGGUUAGAGCGUUGGUCUCAUAGCAUGACUCAAUAGAUAACUGUUGAGAGUUUCCAAUAAUCCAAAGGUCGUGAGUUCGAGUCUCACCGAGGACA